rnacentral:misc_RNA from 1 species
GAUGAAGAACGUAGCAAAAUGCGAUAAGUAAUGUGAAUUGCAGAAUUCAGUGAAUCAUCGAAUCUUUGAGCGCACAUUGCGCCCGCCAGUAUUCUGGCGGGCAUGCCUGUUCGAGCGUCAUUUCAACCCUCAAGCCCCCGGGUUUGGUGUUGGGGAUCGGGCUGUACUCCAGCCCGGCCCCGAAAUCUAGUGGCGGUCUCGCUGCAGCCUCCAUUGCGUAGUAGCUAACACCUCGCAACUGGAACGCGGCGCGGCCAAGCCGUUAAACCCCCAACUUCUGAAUGUUGACCUCGGAUCAGGUAGGAAUACCCGCUGAACUUAAGCAUAUCAAUAAGCGGAGGA